ACUUCUGGAUUAAUGAACACCCCAUCAGACAAGGGAGGCACUUACCUCAGAGCAAGGGGAAGCCUGAGGAGCAGAGCAGGGCCUUCACCUCCUUCCCAGACUUUGCAGCUGGAGCACUCAGGGUGCAGAGGUGCAUGCAGCCUCUGAGGUGUCCUGUGCCUUUCCUGGAUGGAGCAGGGGUCAGGGAGGCGGGAGCAGCCUCACCACAUGCUUCCUGCAGUCACUCAGUUUACCAUUCUCUCAGAGGUGCCCUGACUCACGGCCUUGUCCGCCUUUAUCUCCUUUACACCCCAAAGGCAGAGGCAGGGUCUUAGAAGUGUUGGUGGUGAGGAAAAGGGUCUUCUGCAUGUUGUGCCCAGAGUUCCUCUGCUUUGUCCAAUGUCCCCAUAUUAUCUAAUCGCUCUCUCUCUUUUCUGCUCCCCCAUGGGCUCUCCAGAGGAACAACAGCGAGGUAGAGACCUACCCGGGCUGGGGUUUACCAAGGCACUGGGACUGGAGACAGCAUCAGAAGUGGAGGUGGGGAUGGGGAAGGUAAAGAGCCCAGUUUUCAAUCCUGUGCACCCAGGACUGAUGAUAUUCUGCAUGCUGUUCACAGGGGGCACUCCUGGGCAGGCUCCAGGCGCCUUGCCAGGCCCGGGGCCGGUGAAGGACUCACCACUGCUGCUUCAGCAGAUCUCUGCCAUGAGG
rnacentral:lncRNA from 1 species